rnacentral:rRNA from 1 species
AUUGAACGCUGGCGGCAGGCCUUACACAUGCAAGUCGAGCGAGAAAGCCCUUCGGGGUGAGUAGAGCGGCGGACGGGUGAGUAACGCGUAGGAAUCUACCUAGUAGUGGGGGACAACAUGUGGAAACGCAUGCUAAUACCGCAUACGCCCUAAGGGGGAAAGCAGGGGAUCUUCGGACCUUGCGCUAUUGGAUGAGCCUGCGUUGGAUUAGCUAGUUGGUGGGGUAAAGGCCUACCAAGGCGACGAUCCAUAGCUGGUCUGAGAGGAUGAUCAGCCACACUGGGACUGAGACACGGCCCAG